ACCUAUUGUUACCAUAAUUGCACCACUUCCAAUGUAUGAAAUUUGAACAUUCCACACAGGUUUUGCUUUUUUUUUAAAUAUCAGUAACUAGUUCACUACUAUAUUCAUUAUUCUUUCCUUUUGGGAAAUGCCAAUAUAUUGACUAUAAUAAUAUUUCAUUUAUUCAUCCCAGGAUUGUCAUCUUAUCCUUAAUCAUUUAUUUAUCACAGAUAACCUUUCAUUUGUAUACACUCUCAACUGCUGUGGUUACUAAAUGCUCAUAAAUACCUGGCUUUCCUCUUUGUGAGCACUUCAACUACUGUACUUCCCAAUGGUCUUGGUAUUGGGCUGGCAAAUGAAUUCUUCUGAUCAACAAGCUGUAAACUAAAGCAACAUGUACAAUUUCCCUACUGAAGGAUUUCAUUGCUGGUGCCUCAGGACACAGAACAAGCAAAGGAAAAACUGCAGCCAGGAGAACAUGGUUUACAGAUAGAGCACAUUUGCACAAAGAGCUGUCACGUUAGAAAAAGAGGUAAGCUAUUUCAUGCAUGUCUAAAAAAUAAGGCAACCAGCCAGAAUUUUGUAAAGCAAAGUGGGAGGAAACAAAGAAUCCUAUGGAAGACAACUGAUAAAGAAUCAGUACUCAAUGUACUUUGGGUAGGUGCAAAGGAAAUCACGGCAUUUUUGUUUAUUAGUAAUGAAGGCCUUGAAGCAAGUAUAGUUGAAUAAGAGAAGGGAAAAUGGGAUCUGAGUAAACAGAUCCACAUUGAUUCAUAUUAAGGUGAACCCAUAUCCAGGUUUGAACACCACCACCUACUAUUUUAGAUUUCAG
rnacentral:lncRNA from 1 species